UCCCUGGCAGUCCAAUGGUUAGGACUCCUUGCUUACAUUGAGGAGGGCCCAGGUUCAAUCCCUGGUUGGGGAA